GGGUCAGUAGGUUGUUCGUGCCACCGGUACGUACUGGUCUCACUGAUUCCUCCUUCCUGAAGAACCGUGAUGCCAUUAAUUUGGUGUUGCGGGGAAACAGGACUGUUACUUUGAAAAAAUUAGAGUGUUUAAAGCAAUCUAACGCUUGAAUACAUUAGCAUGGAAUAAUGAAAUAGGACGAUCGAUCCUAUUUUGUUGGUUUCUAGGAUUUACGUA
rnacentral:rRNA from 1 species